rnacentral:rRNA from 1 species
UACGGAGGAUGCAAGCGUUAUCCGGAAUUAUUGGGCGUAAAGCGUCCGCAGGUGGUAAUUCAAGUCUGCUGUCAAAGACCGAAGCUUAACUUCGGAAAGGCAGUGGAAACUGAAUAACUAGAGUACGGUAGGGGUAGAGGGAAUUUCCAGUGUAGCGGUGAAAUGCGUAGAGAUUGGAAAGAACACCAGUGGCGAAGGCGCUCUACUGGACCUGUACUGACACUGAGGGACGAAAGCUAGGGGAGCGAAAGGG